UACGAAGGGUGCAAGCGUUACUCGGAAUUACUGGGCGUAAAGCGUGCGUAGGUGGUGAGUUAAGUCUGUCGUGAAAGCCCCGGGCUCAACCUGGGAAUGGCGAUGGAUACUGGCUCGCUAGAGUGCGGUAGAGGAGAGUGGAAUUCCCGGUGUAGCAGUGAAAUGCGUAGAGAUCGGGAGGAACAUCAGUUGCGAAGGCGGCUCUCUGGACCAGCACUGACACUGAGGAGCGAAAGCCAGGGGAGCAAACGGG
rnacentral:rRNA from 1 species